GGCGCACGGGUGCGUAACACGUAUGCAACUUACCCUUUACUGGGGCAUAGCUCAGAGAAAUCUGAAUUAAUUCCCCAUAACGCUAUUGAGUCGCAUGACUCGAUAGCUAAAGUUCCGGCGGUAAAGGAUAGGCAUGCGCUGUAUUAGCUAGUUGGUGAGGUAAUGGCUCACCAAGGCUACGAUACAUAGGGGUUCUGAGAGGAUGAUCCCCCACACUGGUACUGAGACACGGACCAGACUCCUACGGGAGGCAGCAGUAGGGAAUAUUGGUCAAUGGACGCAAGUCUGAACCAGCCAUGCCGCGUGCAGGAUGACGGCCCUCUGGGUUGUAAACUGCUUUUAUAUGGGAAGAAACCCCGGGAUGCGUUCCGGGCUGACGGUACCAUACGAAUAAGGAUCGGCUAACUUCGUGCCAGCAGCCGCGGUAAGACGAAGGAUCCAAGCGUUGUCCGGAUUUACUGGGUUUAAAGGGUGCGUAGGCGGAUGCUUAAGCCAGUGGUGAAAUCUCUCAGCUCAACUGAGAAACUGCCAUUGGAACUGGGUAUCUUGAAUUCGAUUGAGGUAGAUGGAAUAUAACAUGUAGCGGUGAAAUGCUUAGAUAUGUUAUGGAACACCGAUUGCGAAGGCAGUCUACUAAGUCGACAUUGACGCUGAGGCACGAAAGCGUGGGUAGCGAACAGGAUUAGAUACCCUGGUAGUCCACGCCCUAAACGUUGAUUACUCGCUGUUGGCGAUACACUGUCAGCGGCUAAGCGAAAGCGUUAAGUAAUCCACCUGGGAAGUACGACCGCAAGGUUGAAACUCAAAGGAAUUGACGGGGGCCCGCACAAGAGUGGCGGACGGGUGAGUAACGCGUGAGAAUCUGCCCUCAGGAGGGGGAUAACGGUUGGAAACGACCGCUAAUACCCCAUAUGCCGAGAGGUGAAAUGAAAUUCGCCUGAGGAUGAGCUCGCGUCUGAUUAGCUAGUUGGUAGGGUAAAGGUCUACCAAGGCAUUGAUCAGUAGCUGGUCUGAGAGGAUGAUCAGCCACACUGGGACUGAGACACGGUCCAGGUUCCUACGGGAGGCAGCAGUAGGGAAUUUUCCGCAAUGGGCGAAAGCCUGACGGAGCAAUACCGCGUGAGGGAUGAAUGCCUAUGGGUUGUAAACCUCUUUUUUCAGGGAGGAAAACAAUUGACGUUUACCUGAAGAAUAAGCAUCGGCUAACUCCGUGCCAGCAGCCGCGGUAAGACGGAGGAUGCAAGUGUUAUCCGGAAUCACUGGGCGUAAAGCGUCUGUAGGUUGUUUAAUAAGUCAACUGUUAAAUCUUGAGGCUCAACCUCAAAAUCGCAGUCGAAACUAUUAGACUAGAGUAUAGUAGGGGUAAAGGGAAUUUCCAGUGGAGCGGUGAAAUGCGUAGAGAUUGGAAAGAACACCGAUGGCGAAGGCACUUUACUGGGCUAUUACUGACACUCAGAGACGAAAGCUAGGGUAGCAAAUGGGAUUAGAUACCCCAGUAGUCCUAGCCGUAAACUAUGGAUACUAGAUGUUGAACAGAUCGACCUGUGCAGUAUCAAAGCUAACGCGUUAAGUAUCCCGCCUGGGAAGUAUGCUCGCAAGGGUGAAACUCAAAGGAAUUGACGGGGGCUCGCACAAG
rnacentral:rRNA from 1 species